rnacentral:lncRNA from 1 species
CUUAUUGUCUCUGAUCGAAGCAUAAUUUGAGCAGAUGGCUGGUCUUUUCUUCUCCUGUACAUUAGACUCUAAGGGAUGAAUUAUGGCUAAUGUCAGAACAUUUCUGGCAAUGAUCACAUUAGGAAGAUGAUUGAGAAUGACGAGUGAUGUGAUACAAUGGAAAGAGCUCUGCGUUUGAAGCCAGAAAACCUGUGUUCAAAUCCUGGCGUAGCAAUUUCCUUCCUGUGUGACCCGAGUGACCUGGGAUUAUGGACGGGGUCCUUCCUCCCCUGGCAGCCACACAGGAAGAGCGAGGAGCUUCUGGCUUCCUGAACUGGACGAAGAGGACAAGUUAACUGUUGUUUACCCACCAGCAUCUUUCGAAAGGAUGACAUACAUCGCCAAUUACCCGAAGCCCUCGAGAUGACCAUGAAAGGGAAAAAGGCUCCGAAAGCACUCUUCGAGCCCUAAAAGAUGGAAUUGCCAAGGACACGUUGAGCAUUAAAACCCAAGAGGCAAGCACACACAUGCCGCCCUUCCCAGACGGAGGAGCUCAACGCUUUUUCAGAAAUCCUUGGAAGAAAGGGCUGCCUCGCAAGUCAAUUCAGUUCAACAAACAUGCCUUCGGUUCUGUGAGUCUAUAGGAAUGGAACAGGUGGGUUCGGGUUCCAUUUCUGACACAAACUGAUGGUGUGACUCUGGGCAAGUCAUUUAACCUCUUCUUAGCCUCUGGCCACUCUCAAAGACUACAAAUUGCAUCCCCAGAAGAGGAAGGAGUUUCCCCCCCAGGCUGAUGAAAUCACAGCCAGCAUUAAAAAAAAAAUUGUGCUGGGCAUUGAACUAGAUACCUGAAAAACAAAAGAGAACCAAAACAAUAGUUUCUACCCUCAAAGAGCUUUGUAUAAAAAGGAUAUUAGAGGCAGCUGGGUGGCCCAAUGGAUAGGGAGUCAGGUCUGUAAACAGGAAGUCCUGGGUUCAAAUUUGGUCUUAGACACUUCCUAGCUGUGUGACCGUGGGCAAGUCAUUUAACUCCAAUUGCUUAGCCUUUACCUCUCUUCUACCUUGGAACCAAUAUUGAUUCCAAGAUGGAAGGCAAAGGUUUGAAGGGAAAAAAAAAGGAAUAUAAAUUUAUAGGUUUUUUCCACUGGUUCAUUCUCAAAUAAUUUCAAGGCAGACUUUUGCUGCUUAUUUCAAAUACUUUCCCUAUUUAUCAUUCUAUUCUCAGUGUUUUAUAAUAAAAUAAACUGGGCAACUA